ensembl:misc_RNA 7SK 7SK RNA
GGAUGUGAGGGCGAUCUGGCUGCGACAUCUGUCACCCCAUUGAUCACCAGGGUUGAUUUGGCUGAUCUGGCUGGCUAGGUGGGUGUCCCCUUCCUCCCUCACCACUCCAUGUGCGUCCCUCCCGAAGCUGCGCGCUCAGUCAAAGAGGACGACCAUCCCCGAUAGAGGAGGACCGGUCUUCGGUCAAGGGUAUACGAGUAGCUGCGCUCCCCUGCUAGAUCCUCCAAACAAGCUCUCAAGAAAUGUACUCAUUACCUUGCUCAGGUAAUUGUAACCCCUCUGUAUGGUAUUUUCACAUAAAAAAUUAAUUAAACAAAACCACCAACAAAAAAACCCCAAAUGUCAUUU